GUGGGAAUAAGAGUAGACACCCCCUUCACAUGCAACUGCAUUCUACUUAGCUUACAUGUGGGUCAAAGUAAAUUCUCUUGCUAGACAUGAACUUAUGGCAUGCUGGUUAUUUGUUUCUCUUUGUUCUCCUAGGUUUAAGUGGGUUCCUACACUAUGUAAGUUAUGUGGUUAAUAGAAAUUUCAGAUUAAGAAUUAAUGUGGUAAACAAAUGUUUACAGAAAUUUCAGAUUGUGGUAAACAAAAAUUCCACACAAAAAAAAGGGUCCUUUAUUUAAGAGAACCUACAGCUCUUCCUCUGGUUUUUAAGGAACUCCCUACCCAUGUUAUGCUUUGGUACAUAGUAUUUUUGGAGGUUGAAGAAAAAAAAAAUUAUUUACAAUAUUGGCUGCCUCCAUUUAGCAUUUAUAAUCUAUGGAAAUGUAAACAAUACACAGGCACUGAUUUCCUCAAUUAUGUUGACAUUAUCUCUUGA